rfam:Rhizoclosmatium globosum strain JEL800 BCR33scaffold_300, whole genome shotgun sequence.
GGUUCCGUGGUGUAGUUGGUUUAUCACACCAGUCUAACACACUGGUGGUCCCCAGUUCGAGCCUGGGCGGAGCCA